UGAAGACGGCUUCUUACUUCUUAGGGCAGGCGUAGCCGUAGCGGGAAUUUCGAAUUGAAGAUAUAUCUUUUCUGUUCUGUAGAAAUUUGGGCUAGAUUUGAAGAUGAAAAACGCAUCAAUAGACAAGAACGGCAUUAAUGUUGUGUAUUUCAAGUUUUUACUCCUCUACCAUCACGACUUGGAGCGGAUGGACAUGUGACUCAGCCAGGCUCAGCAGCAGGCAGGCAGGUCUGACUUGGCCAAGCCUGGCCCGUUGGAUCCCCGUGCAAUUUCUGGAGCGAUUGCCUCAGUAGGCUAGUGCUAGCUAGUGAUCCGGCCGCCAAUCCCUGUCCCUGAGCAGCUGACCAUCAUCUUCUUAGCCUUUGCUGACCGACCACCAUCAUGUAGUAGGGGAUUGCCUCUGAGUUUGGAUUGAAUUGAGAGAACAUCACUUAAUCAGUGCAAUUGAUGGCAGGAAGAGAUCACUGUGAUGUCAUCAACCAUGACCAUGUUUAUCUACUCAGCCCAGGAACAACAACAAGGAAGUUUGAAAAACCAAACGGCACAAGGCAUUUGACAGCUAAAGUUCAAGCAGUCCAUGUACUUCUAGAUUCAAUAUGCAACUUCUCUCGUAGAAUACAGGAUUCUGGGUAUUUACACCUGGAUACAAGGAGAGAUGUUGGGACAGACCAUGUCAAGAAUGUGGGAAUCCUCUAGCCUUCCAGGGUGAUUCCUACCAACUAGUGUCAGGAAAACUGCUGCUGCUUAUGUACCGGCACAGUCAAAGCUAACCCACAGGGAAGCUACAGAGAUGGCAGAGUAUAUGGCACAUGAGGAGCAAAACGACCAGGAAGUUCUACACCACCAGCUAAUACCUCGGUCACAUUUGCUCUACGGGGGCCGUAUGGCAAGUCGAAAACAGCCAUUUUACCAUUUU